rnacentral:rRNA from 1 species
CAGUCGACGAACUCUGGUAUUGAUUGGUGCUUGCAUCAUGAUUUACAUUUGAGUGAGUGGCGAACUGGUGAGUAACACGUGGGAAACCUGCCCAGAAGCGGGGGAUAACACCUGGAAACAGAUGCUAAUACCGCAUAACAACUUGGACCGCAUGGUCCGAGUUUGAAAGAUGGCUUCGGCUAUCACUUUUGGAUGGUCCCGCGGCGUAUUAGCUAGAUGGUGGGGUAACGGCUCACCAUGGCAAUGAUACGUAGCCGACCUGAGAGGGUAAUCGGCCACAUUGGGACUGAGACACGGCCCAAACUCCUACGGGAGGCAGCAGUAGGGAAUCUUCCACAAUGGACGAAAGUCUGAUGGAGCAACGCCGCGUGAGUGAAGAAGGGUUUCGGCUCGUAAAACUCUGUUGUUAAAGAAGAACAUAUCUGAGAGUAACUGUUCAGGUAUUGACGGUAUUUAACCAGAAAGCCACGGCUAACUACGUGCCAGCAGCCGCGGUAAUACGUAGGUGGCAAGCGUUGUCCGGAUUUAUUGGGCGUAAAGCGAGCGCAGGCGGUUUUUUAAGUCUGAUGUGAAAGCCUUCGGCUCAACCGAAGAAGUGCAUCGGAAACUGGGAAACUUGAGUGCAGAAGAGGACAGUGGAACUCCAUGUGUAGCGGUGAAAUGCGUAGAUAUAUGGAAGAACACCAGUGGCGAAGGCGGCUGUCUGGUCUGUAACUGACGCUGAGGCUCGAAAGUAUGGGUAGCAAACAGGAUUAGAUACCCUGGUAGUCCAUACCGUAAACGAUGAAUGCUAAGUGUUGGAGGG